AUGGGAACCAGUUCUUCAGUUGCUUCACUGUUGUUCUAGGUGAACUGAGAAUACACCUUAGAUUGUGUGUUAUCUUCUCUAGUGGCUGCCCAAUGUUGGGGGACAAUGGGUGGUGAAGAAACCCAAGAAAGCUCCUUAUCAACCCAAAGUUCCCUAGAAGAAAUUUGCUCCCUUUGUUCUGUGCAAACCAUACUUUGCUCACAUUCAGUAUUUCUCCUGUUAACCUGGUUCACCUCUCAGCAAUGAUUGAGAAUUUUGAAACCUGAUUUUUUUAUAUUUGCCUUUAAGAUAUGGGGCAGCAGGAUGAAUGGGAAGAACAGCUUCCUUAGUGCUAUGGAUGUCUCAUCAUAUGCUUCAGGGAAAUCUAUUUCUUGGAUUAAAAAAUGAGAAUUAUGGACUGAAUAGCAACCUAAUUAUUCUGGCUGAGAUAUAUUAAUAUGGACAUAGUUUUCUCUGCGUUGUCAUGAUCAUAUCAACAUUACAUAAUAUGAAUGAGCUCAUUCUAAUCAGGUAUAAUUGCAGAAGAACUACUUAAAGAUCAGAAAAAAAGUUAUUUAUGGAUGCCACCAUGGCUGACCAAGUGGCAUGUGUCCAAAGAUGGAAAGAAGAAGCAGUUCCAACGAAAGAUGAUUGGCAAUUAAAACAGAUGGAGUACGCAGAGAUGGUGAAACUUACUGGAAGAAUAUAUGAAAACAAAUGGUAAGCAAUUAAAAACAUUAGCAGGAUUCACAAGAACACGAGCAGUAAGAAAUAACUUAAAGGGAGUAAAAAGGUUAAACUUGUAAAUAGGUUUGAAUUGGUUAUGCAGUAAGAUUACUAUAUAAAAUAAGGAACUGCAGAGGGGGAGGGGAGGGGAGGGGAGGCAAAGAAAAGGCAGGUUGAAUUUGCUUAGAUUUAAUUUUUGUUGUUAAAAUAUUGUAAAUGGAAAAAUGGAAAAGUAAAAUAUAUAUAUUUUAAAAAACUACAGGCAGAAAACA